AUUGAACGCUGGCGGCAGGCUUAACACAUGCAAGUCGAGCGGGGUGAUGGUGCUUGCACUAUCACUUAGCGGCGGACGGGUGAGUAAUGCUUAGGAAUCUGCCUAUCAGUGGGGGACAACAUCUCGAAAGGGAUGCUAAUACCGCAUACGUCCUACGGGAGAAAGCAGGGGAUCACUUGUGACCUUGCGCUAAUAGAUGAGCCUAAGUCGGAUUAGCUAGUUGGUGGGGUAAAGGCCUACCAAGGGGACGAUCUGUAGCGGGUCUGAGAGGAUGAUCCGCCACACUGGGCCUGAGACACGGCCCAGACUCCUACGGGAGGCAGCAGUGGGGAAUAUUGAACAAUGGGGGGAACCCUGAUCCAGCCAUGCCGCGUGUGUGAAGAAGGCCUUAUGGUUGUAAAGCACUUUAAGCGAGGAGGAGGCUCUUUUGGUUAAUACCCAAGAUGAGUGGACGUUACUCGCAGAAUAAGCACCGGCUAACUCUGUGCCAGCCGCCGCGGUAA
rnacentral:rRNA from 1 species